rnacentral:tRNA from 1 species
AAAACAGAAGUAGAAUUACGUUUGACUUCGAAUCAAAAAAAGGUAAAAACCCUGUUUUG